ACCGAGAUUCAACAUGGAACGAGUGGCGGACGGGUGAGUAACACGUGGGUAACCUGCCCUUAAGUGGGGGAUAACAUUUGGAAACAGAUGCUAAUACCGCAUAGAUCCAAGAACCGCAUGGUUCUUGGCUGAAAGAUGGCGUAAGCUAUCGCUUUUGGAUGGACCCGCGGCGUAUUAGCUAGUUGGUGAGGUAAUGGCUCACCAAGGCGAUGAUACGUAGCCGAACUGAGAGGUUGAUCGGCCACAUUGGGACUGAGACACGGCCCAAACUCCUACGGGAGGCAGCAGUAGGGAAUCUUCCACAAUGGACGCAAGUCUGAUGGAGCAACGCCGCGUGAGUGAAGAAGGCUUUCGGGUCGUAAAACUCUGUUGUUGGAGAAGAAUGGUCGGCAGAGUAACUGUUGUCGGCGUGACGGUAUCCAACCAGAAAGCCACGGCUAACUACGUGCCAGCAGCCGCGGUAAUACGUAGGUGGCAAGCGUUAUCCGGAUUUAUUGGGCGUAAAGCGAGCGCAG
rnacentral:rRNA from 1 species